UUCGACGAGAACGAUGACUGGUGCUUGA
rnacentral:sRNA from 1 species